UAUUUACACUACAUUAAUGCCACUCGUCAUCAUUUAACAUUUGAAUGCCACUCGUUUGUUCUUCGACAUUACACUACUUUCUAUAUCAUCAACACCCCCAUCGAGUACAUCUCUUUUCUUUCGCAUUAUAGGAUCCACGUUCCGACCCAAUCCUCACCUAUCUAGGUCACCAAGCGUUCCAAGUACACUAGGUUAUCAAUU
rnacentral:lncRNA from 1 species